GCAUGUUUAAAUAAGCGGUUAUAUCCACUUCACACAAACUGCCAUUUAUAUAAAAAUGCUGAUUCGAGUCAUUUACAAAAUUAUAUUGAUAUCAUAUCUCCUCGUAUUAUGCAUUGGCUAUUUUCAUUAGGCUACAGAAGUCAUCCAUAGGAAUAUAAACCAACAUAUCCUAUAAUCAACACAUAAUCAAUGAUAAAACAUUGCUAUUAUAGGCCUAACGUCACCAAUAGUUAUUCUCUCUUUCAAACUCAGAGAUGGGUGAUGGGGCGGGCAUAUUUACUCGUCAGCGUCGCAUCAACCACUGUCUUGGGAAGAGGUGAUGAAUAGUAGCCUACCAAUACCGGGCUACACAAUCUUGCAGUUGGAAAUAAGUGAAGUGAGUAACUUUUAUUCAGAUGUUUUGACACUGAGAAACGCUAUUGAUAAGGAGCCAGUAGAAGCAAAUAGCCGAGCAGAUCUGGAAGGUUGUAAUAGUCGCUUACAGUAACGUUAAGCCAACUUGCCUGCACCGCGUUCAGCAUAUCGCUGUCCACCUGCCUGUCUGAUUACAACGAGGAAAGCGACGUGCACCAUGAAAGGGAUGCAUUGAGGUGAAGGCUCUGGGCUGUGUCUCUUGUCUGAUGUCAACCUGGCUUGACGUUUGUAUGGGUCUUUACCUCCAACCAAAGCAUGGACUGCUUUUCCGAUGAAGAAAAGUCGGCCUAUUAUUGCAUUAUAGCUGACUUCUUAAGGGUUUUGUUAUGGUGGUUGGUUACCAAGGAGAAGCAACCUAAAGCUGAACCAGGUUGUGAGAAGCAGUUUACUGACAACACAUUCUUGGGUGUCUUGAAUAAGGCGGCUCCUUUUUAAGCUCCUGAUUUACUGGAACACCGUGUCACUAUGUUGUUCUUCUGUGCUGUGGAGGUUAAUCUUAUUUCUGGCCUGUCAACUGGACAUUUGAUGAUCUUGGCAAAAGGGGAGGAGGGAUUGGAUUUGUUUCUCCUUUUAUUGUCUUUCUUUCUCAUUUCAUUCUCUUAUGCGUUGAGAUGGCACUAGGGCUUGUGGCAACUCAAGCCCUGAGAUGGCACUAAGCCUUGGCUUGUCUUUUUCUUGUAGGCAAGCACGUCGGCAGAAAUAUAUCUGCCCAUCUGAGCCAGGCAGUAAUAUGCUGUCCCUGGAUAAGUUAUAAGUCUAGCUCUUUUUGGUGAGAGAUUUAAGAACUGGCUAACAG
ensembl:lncRNA